UACGGGGGGAGCAAGCGUUAAUCGGAAUUACUGGGCGUAAAGCGUGCGUAGACGGUUAUUUAAGUCAGGUGUGAAAGCCCCGGGCUCAACCUGGGAAUUGCAUUUGAGACUGAAUAGCUAGGGUGCGGAAGAGGGAAGCGGAAUUUCCGGUGUAGCGGUGAAAUGCGUAGAUAUCGGAAGGAACACCAGUGGCGAAAGCGGCUUCCUGGUCCAGCACCGACGUUCAGGCACGAAAGCGUGGGGAGCAAACAGG
rnacentral:rRNA from 1 species